rnacentral:lncRNA from 10 species
AAGGGGGUAACGUUGGAUUACUUGCUUUAAAGUGGUGUGCUCCUUUGAAGCAGAAAUCAAAAUGUAACCAGCUCUAAGAUGGAAUUAGUGCCAGAGGAAACGAAGAGACAUGAGGCAUUGGUCCACCAUGCUUGAUGAAACUGUGGAAGAGAAAAAACACCAUGCUGCUUUUUAAAUUGAGACGCAUUCACCUGCCAUCAUUUAUUGAUGGACUUACUAAUGACACAAAUAUUCUUUCAUUGAUUAAUCAGUUCAUGCCAACACUGGGCUGGAUGCUAGAGGUACAGUGAAGUCCAUGCACUCAUGGGACGGAUAAUUUAGUCGAGGGACAUAAAAUGAAGAGUUAAACAAACAAAUACAAAUUGGCGUAAAUGCUACCAAAGAAACAAACAAGGAGUGAAGAUGGGGAAGGACUGGUGGCUGUUCCUCCAUGUGUGUGUGGGUGAAUAUAGACCGGAUGGUCACAGAAAGCCUCUUGAAGGGAACUGCACUUGAAAUUGGACCCUGAAGGAUAGGAGCUGACAUGUGACCACAGCAGGAGGGCAAUCCCAGGAGCUGGUGCUGCAUCCACAAUGGCCCUGGGGUGGGAAGGAAGAUCAGCACCACAGAAAUGGAGUCAGGGGCUCAAGAACCAGUAACGAAGGGGUAGAAGAGUAAGUGGGGCCACUGUAAUCCUACAGGGGAUUACACCUGUAAUCCCAGCAUUUUAGGAGGCCGAGGUGGGCGGAUCGUCUGAGGUCAGGAGGUCGAGACCAGCCUGGCCAACAUGGUGAAACCCCAUCUCUACUAAAAAUACAAAAAUCAGCCCAACACGGUGGUGUGUGCCUGUAGUCCCAG